rnacentral:rRNA from 1 species
AAUGAACGCUGGCGGCAGGCCUAACACAUGCAAGUCGAACGGACCCUUCGGGGUUAGUGGCGGACGGGUGAGUAACGCGUGGGAACGUGCCCUUUGGUUCGGAAUAGCCUCGGGAAACUGGGAGUAAUACCGGAUAAGCCCUUCGGGGGAAAGAUUUAUCGCCAAAGGAUCGGCCCGCGUUGGAUUAGGUAGUUGGUGGGGUAAUGGCCUACCAAGCCGACGAUCCAUAGCUGGUUUGAGAGGAUGAUCAGCCACACUGGGACUGAGACACGGCCCAGACUCCUACGGGAGGCAGCAGUGGGGAAUCUUAGACAAUGGGGGAAACCCUGAUCUAGCCAUGCCGCGUGAUCGAUGAAGGCCUUAGGGUUGUAAAGAUCUUUCAGAUGGGAAGAUAAUGACGGUACCAUCAGAAGAAGCCCCGGCUAACUCCGUGCCAGCAGCCGCGGUAA